GGAUCGUUGCCCGAACCGGUAAGGGACCCCGUUGGAAGCGGGAGGUGCGCGAAAGCGUGAGCAGGUUCGAGUCCUGCACGAUCCGC
rnacentral:tRNA from 1 species